rnacentral:rRNA from 1 species
AAUGAACGCCGGCGGCAGGCCUAACACAUGCAAGUCGAACGGAUCCUUCGGGAUUAGUGGCGGACGGGUGAGUAACGCGUGGGAACAUACCCUUUGGUACGGAAUAGCCUCGGGAAACUGGGAGUAAUACCGUAUGUGGUCGAGAGACGAAAGAUUUAUCGCCAAAGGAUUGGCCCGCGUUGGAUUAGGUAGUUGGUGGGGUAAUGGCCUACCAAGCCGACGAUCCAUAGCUGGUUUGAGAGGAUGAUCAGCCACACUGGGACUGAGACACGGCCCACACUCCUACGGGAGGCAGCAGUGGGGAAUCUUAGACAAUGGGGGAAACCCUGAUCUAGCCAUGCCGCGUGAUCGCUCCCGGCCUUAGGGUUGUAAAGCUCUUUCAGGUGGGAAGAUAAUGACUGUACCACCAGAAGAAGCCCCGGCUAACUCCGUGCCAGCAGCCGCGGUAA